UACAGAGGUCCCAAGCGUUGUUCGGAUUCAUUGGGCGUAAAGGGUGCGUAGGUGGCGCUGUAAGUCAGGUGUGAAAUUUCGGGGCUUAACCCCGAGACUGCACUUGAUACUGCGGUGCUUGAGGACUGGAGAGGAGACUGGAAUUUACGGUGUAGCAGUGAAAUGCGUAGAUAUCGUAAGGAAGACCAGUGGCGAAGGCGGGUCUCUGGACAGUUCCUGACACUGAGGCACGAAGGCCAGGGGAGCAAACGGG
rnacentral:rRNA from 1 species